UGAUAUAUACUUUCCAUGAUAUUUGAUUUUCUAAAUUUCAAAACUCGAAAAACAUUUAGACUAGUUAUUGUAGGGCUUUACCCCAAAGGGAGCCCUUCCAGAAAUUCUCGAAGGCCCAAGACAAGCUUAGGCCCAGGAGGGGGUUUGGAAAUAGUUUUCAACCAGCAAUAGACGCGCCUCGGUUAGUACCUCAUUAGCUGCGUCAUUGCCCCAAGCGCAAAGAUGACUUUCAACCGAACUAAACCCUCUUUAUUU
rnacentral:sRNA from 1 species